rnacentral:rRNA from 1 species
UACGUAGGUAGCGAGCGUUAUUCGGAUUCACUGGGCGUAAAGGGUCCGCAGGAGGCCUGUCAAGUCGGAUGUGAAAGCCCAGGGCUCAACCCUGGAAUGUCAUCCGAAACUGCCGGGCUAGAGUGCAUGAGGGGUAGACGGAAUUCCUGGUGUAGCGGUGGAAUGCGUAGAUAUCAGGAGGAACACCGAUGGCGAAGGCGGUCUACUGGCAUGCAACUGACUCUCAGGGACGAAAGCGUGGGGAGCAAACAGG